rnacentral:rRNA from 1 species
GAAAGGCGCGCGAUACAGGGUGACAGCCCCGUACACAAAAAUGCACAUGCUGUGAGCUCGAUGAGUAGGGCGGGACACGUGGUAUCCUGUCUGAAUAUGGGGGGACCAUCCUCCAAGGCUAAAUACUCCUGACUGACCGAUAGUGAACCAGUACCGUGAGGGAAAGGCGAAAAGAACCCCGGCGAGGGGAGUGAAAAAGAACCUGAAACCGUGUACGUACAAGCAGUGGGAGCACAGAGCAAUCUGUGUGACUGCGUACCUUUUGUAUAAUGGGUCAGCGACUUAUAUUCUGUAGCAAGGUUAACCGAAUAGGGGAGCCGAAGGGAAACCGAGUCUUAACUGGGCGUUAAGUUGCAGGGUAUAGACCCGAAACCCGGUGAUCUAGCCAUGGGCAGGUUGAAGGUUGGGUAACACUAACUGGAGGACCGAACCGACUAAUGUUGAAAAAUUAGCGGAUGACUUGUGGCUGGGGGUGAAAGGCCAAUCAAACCGGGAGAUAGCUGGUUCUCCCCGAAAGCUAUUUAGGUAGCGCCUCGUGAAUUCAUCUCCGGGGGUAGAGCACUGUUUCGGCAAGGGGGUCAUCCCGACUUACCAACCCGAUGCAAACUGCGAAUACCGGAGAAUGUUAUCACGGGAGACACACGGCGGGUGCUAACGUCCGUCGUGAAGAGGGAAACAACCCAGACCGCCAGCUAAGGUCCCAAAGUCAUGGUUAAGUGGGAAACGAUGUGGGAAGGCCCAGACAGCCAGGAUGUUGGCUUAGAAGCAGCCAUCAUUUAAAGAAAGCGUAAUAGCUCACUGGUCGAGUCGGCCUGCGCGGAAGAUGUAACGGGGCUAAACCAUGCACCGAAGCUGCGGCAGCGACGCUUAUGCGUUGUUGGGUAGGGGAGCGUUCUGUAAGCCUGCGAAGGUGUGCUGUGAGGCAUGCUGGAGGUAUCAGAAGUGCGAAUGCUGACAUAAGUAACGAUAAAGCGGGUGAAAAGCCCGCUCGCCGGAAGACCAAGGGUUCCUGUCCAACGUUAAUCGGGGCAGGGUGAGUCGACCCCUAAGGCGAGGCCGAAAGGCGUAGUCGAUGGGAAACAGGUUAAUAUUCCUGUACUUGGUGUUACUGCGAAGGGGGGACGGAGAAGGCUAUGUUGGCCGGGCGACGGUUGUCCCGGUUUAAGCGUGUAGGCUGGUUUUCCAGGCAAAUCCGGAAAAUCAAGGCUGAGGCGUGAUGACGAGGCACUACGGUGCUGAAGCAACAAAUGCCCUGCUUCCAGGAAAAGCCUCUAAGCAUCAGGUAACAUCAAAUCGUACCCCAAACCGACACAGGUGGUCAGGUAGAGAAUACCAAGGCGCUUGAGAGAACUCGGGUGAAGGAACUAGGCAAAAUGGUGCCGUAACUUCGGGAGAAGGCACGC